UGGGGAUCGACCAGAUCUGGUGUUGAC
rnacentral:piRNA from 1 species